rnacentral:rRNA from 1 species
CCCUUAGAUGUUCUGGGCUGCACGCGCGCUACACUGAUGCAUCCAACAAGUUUUCUCCCUUGUUCGGUAGGACUGGGUAAUCUUUUGAGUAUGCAUCGUGAAGGGGAUAGAUUAUUGCAAUUAUUAAUCUUCAACGAGGAAUUCCUAGUAAGCGCGAGUCAUCAGCUCGCGCUGAUUACGUCCCUGCCCUUUGUACACACCGCCCGUCGCUCCUACCGAUUGGAUGAUCCGGUGAGCUAUUCGGACCUUCGCUUCGUCGAUUUUCGGCUUUGUGAGGGAAAGUCUCGCGAACCUUAUCAUCUAGAGGAAGGAGAAGUCGUAACA